CCCUUAGAUGUUCUGGGCCGCACGCGCGCUACACUGUUCGACGCAGCGAGUCUUAACCUUGACCGAAAGGUUUGGGUAAUCUUCAGCAAAGUCGAACGUGAUGGGGAUCGAUCAUUGCAAUUAUUGAUCGUGAACGAGGAAUUCCUAGUAAGUGCAAGUCAUCAGCUUGCGCUGAUUACGUCCCUGCCCUUUGUACACACCGCCCGUCGCUACUACCGAUUGAAUGGUUUAGUGAGAUCUCUGAUUGACGCUGGCUAGGGGGCGACCCUUGGCCAGACUGUUGAGAAACUGCUCAAACUUGAUCAUUUAGAGGAAGUAAAAGUCGUAACA
rnacentral:rRNA from 1 species